GUGAAGGAGCUCUAUGGGGAGAAGUUCCUGGCGUCUGUCAAGAAAUCAACUGAAAAGCUGAAGUCAGCAUGUUGCAACAACCUGUAUUUGGUGACGAACUGCAUGGAACAUGCCCUGACAGCCUGCCACCCCCGCACCCGAUACUCCCCAGGCUGGGAUGCUAAGCUCCUCUACAUCCCCAUGAGCUACAUGCCCACCUUGCUGGUGGACACCAUGAUCUACUGGAGUUCUCCGAGGCCCAUUAAGGCUCUGUAACCCAAGCCUGGGGUGCAAGGAUGGACAUAGCCUGGGGGAGUUAAUGCCCCUCUCCACUGAAGAUACCUAAUGCCAGAACAGAUGUGAAUGGGGACAACCAGCCCGACCCAUUAGCCUGAGGAGCCAAAUCACAGACCUUGACUAAAAGGACAUGUUUAUAAUUGGACACAGAGGACACAGAAACCAGCUAUUGGGGCGCCUCGGUGGCUCAAGACGGUUAAGCAUCUUCCCUUCAACUCAGGUCAUGAUUUCAGGGUCCUGGGAUCAAGCCCCUCAUCGGGCUCCCUGCUUAGCGGGGAGUCUGAUUCUCCCUCUCCCUCUGUGCCUCCCCCCUACUUGUGUGCUCUCUCUCUCUCUGUCAAAUAAAUAAAACCUAAAAAAAGGAAGAAAGAAAAAAAGAAAGAGAAACCAGUUGUUGAGUUGUCUUGAAACCUUGAAGUCCAUUGAUUAUUUCUGCCUCAAAAUAAAAGUUGAAAAGUUUACUUAGGCCUGGUGAUUGGAACCGUGGCCUUGGGGAGCAGUGGGGUGUGAGUCCAUGAGAGGAGGAGUCAGGUGCCUUCACAGAGAUCAAGGGAGCAAUGGGGUAACCUGGGCGGGAUUUCAAGGUCGCCCCCUUCCUUCCACAGAAGUGGGGGCUAAUGUUUCCUUUCCAGGAUUUAUCAAGUAAUGUGGGGUCACAGGAGACCCAAGGAUGGACAGACAAGGAGAAGUUGCUGAAGCACUGGCAGACCCUAGUCCUUUCCCAGGGACAUCAAGCUUGCCCCCUCAGCAGCAUCCUCUCUGCAGCCCUCUGUUCUCCCCUCCUCUAGAUUUAUGUCCCCAACUGUGGCCAUCCCCAACUUCCCCAGCCCAGAUCCCCCUUCCCACAUCCUCCAGUGGAGGAGAGUAAGAGUCACUUCUGGACCCCAGUCUUUUGUUCUCUGCUAACCUUUGUUGAGCGCCUACUGUGUGCCAGGCAGGAAUUCCCUUAAUUACCCAGCACUUCCUGAGACCGUGACUCUCUCUGUCUUCGCUAUUGUGAUGAUGUUCUGAGCAUGGACUGAACAGAGGAAGCAUUUGCAGAGAGUGAUGCAGAUUCCUGGGCUGAGGACAAACCAGAACUGAGCUGCCUCAUCAGUAGGUGCUGGAAAUGGCCUGGAGGAGCUGAUGGCCCCUCUCUGCUGAAGAUAUUAGUGAACAGAGGUGUGAAUGGUGUUCAACCACCAGCCCAACACUUCAGCCUCAGGUACUCAGCAGGGAGACUUGUCAUCUGAGAGUGGGGCAUUUCUAGCCCUAGGAAAAGAGCCCUUCUCUGUGGUUCCCAUUCCCAACUGCAUAA